rnacentral:rRNA from 1 species
UUAUUGGAGAGUUUGAUCACAAUAAGGACGAACGCUGGCGGCGUGCCUAAUACAUGCAAGUCGAGCGGACCUUGUGUUUCUUUCGGGAGACGCCGAUUGGCAGCAGUGACAGGUGAGUAGUAACACGUGAGCAACCUGCCUGUAAGACCGGGAUAACUUGCGGAAACGUGAGCUAAUACCGGAUAGCUGGUUCUUCGCAUGAAGAAGUCUCUCAUGAAAGACAGGCAACCCUGUCACUUACAGAUGGGCCUGCGGCGCGUACAGCUAGUUGAGUAGGGUAACGGCUUACCAAGGCGACGAUGUGGCGACCUGAGAGGGUGAACGGCCACACUGGGACUGAGACACGGCCCAGACUCCUACGGGAGGCGACGGUAAGGAAUCUUCACAAUGGACGAGAGUCUGACGGAGCAACGCCGCGUGAGUGAUGAAGGUUUUCGGAUCGUAAAGCUCUGUUGCCAGGAAAGAGCAGCCGGGAGUAACUGCCCCUGGAGUGACGGUACUUUGAAGAAAGCCCCGGCUAACUACGUGCCAGCAGCCGCGGUAAUGCGUAAGGGGCAAGCGUUGUCCGGAAUUGUGGGCGUAAAGCGCGCGCAGGCGGUCUUUUAAGUCUGGUGUUUAAACGGGGCUCAACCCCCGGUUCGCACUGAAACUGGGAGACUUGAGUGUAGGAGAGGAAAGUGGAAUUCCACGUGUAGCGGUGAAAUGCGUAGAGAUGUGGAGGGGCGCACCAGUGGCAAAGGCGACUUUCUGGCCCUAUAACUGACGCUGAGGCGCGAAAGCGUGGGGAGCAAACAGGAUUAGAUACCCUGGUAGUCCACGCCGUAAACGAUGAAUGCUAGGUGUUAGGGGUUUGAUACCCAUGGUGCCGAAGUUAACACAGUAAGCAUUCCGCCUGCGAGUACGGUCGCAAGACUGAAACUCAAAAUUGACGGGGACCCGCACAAGCAGUGGAGCAGCCUUGGUUUAAUUCGAAGCAACGCGAAGAACCUUCAAGGCCUUGACAUCCCUCUGACCGGUUUAGAGAUAGAUCUUUUCGCUACGGGGACGAGACAGGUGGUGCAUGGUUGUCGUCUGGCUCGUGUCGUGAGAUGUUGGGUUAAGUCCCGCAACGAGCGCAACCCUUGAUCUUAGUUGCCAGCACGCAGGGGGUGGGCACUCUAAGAUGACUGCCGGUGAGCAAACCGGAGGAAGGUGGGGAUGACGUCCGUCAUCGUACCCCUUAUGGCCUAGAACACACACGUACUACAAUGGUCAGUACAACGGGAAGCGAAGGAGCGAUCGGAGCCAAUCCUCAAAAGCCGAUCUCAGUUCGGAUUGCGAGGGCUGCAACUCGCCUGCGUGAAAUUAGGAACCGCUGUGUCGCGGAUCAACAUGCCGCGGUGAAUACGUUCCCGGGUCUUGUACACCGCCCGUCACGCCACGAGAGUUUACAACACCCAAGUGGUGAGGUAACCGCAAGGCCAGCCGCCGAAGGUGGGGUAGAUGAUUGGGGUGAAGUCAUAACAAGGUAGCCGUAUCCCGGAAGGUGCGGCUGGAUCACCUCCCUU